rnacentral:lncRNA from 1 species
GGGAAAGGUUAUUCCUGCUGGUACAGCUGCAUCAGUGUGGCACAGAGGAAUUAGCUGUGCUGAGAUGUCAGGGAGGGGAUCAGCCUGGAGUUGUGCUGGAAUGCUGUGGCUCAGUGUCCCCGUGCUUCUCCCACCUGCACAAAGCCACGUGCACAUGUGGAUCACAUUCAUGUGUGGAAAGGUGUUCCUUUGAGAAUUCUCAAGUGGUUUUCAUUUGAUUGGGAAAUACUCCUGCAAGGCAUUGUGGAAAAGUCUGCUGGGUGUUUGUCCUGCUCCCUCCCAGGCAGAAAAGCAGUCAUAGCUGGGGAAGAUGGAGUGGAUUUUGAUGGCACCACACAGAAUCUGAGGAGGUCCAGGACUGCCCCUUCCAUGCUGAGACACCUGCAGAGCUGGGACAUGCAGACCCCUGUGGGGUGUUGUGUGGGGAAAGAGUGGAGCAGGAUAAGGAUGACCAUGGAUGGAAUGGAAAGAGUGACCACCCGUGAGAGCAAACAGCUUUGGUCUCCCUGCUGCAGGUGGAGGAACCCAAAUACUCCAGCCUUCAGAUACCACAGCCUUGAAUGCCAUGGGAUGAGGUGGUCAGCAACACAGAAGAAGGAGAUCAUCAGGGGAAACCUCUUUGUCCAGAUUACACCUGCAUUGAGAUAA